rnacentral:lncRNA from 1 species
UCCGAUUGUUGUGUCACAACCAAUACCGGCAGAUAAAUCCCAAGUGGAAGCUUGGUUUAAUGGCAUUAUCAAGCCGGUGAAGGAAAGGGGUACAACCUUAGACCCUGAAUUGGUUCAAGCCGAGACAGAACCUAGAAUCAUAAAGGUGAUGCAAGGUGGGGGUGGAGAAUUCGAUACCAUAACCAAAGCCAUCGAGAGCGUUCCAUCAGGGAACGCCAAACGCGUGAUCAUAUCCAUCGGACCUGGAUCUUACAAAGAGAAAAUUAGAAUUGAAAGAAAUAAGCCUUUCAUUACAUUGUUAGGAGAUCCUAAAAACAUGCCAAAUUUGACAUUUGACGGCACCGCCAAGCAAUAUGGAACCGUAGAUAGUGCCACUCUUAUUACUGAGAGUAAUUACUUUGUGGGUGCUAAUCUCAAUAUAGUGGUAAGUUAAUGUAGAGUUUAGACAACCAUGAUCUGUCCUUUAUUGAAUUGAUUAUUAAAGGGAUUUUUUUUUUAUGGUGGCAUGUUAUGCAUAUAGAACUCUGCUCCAAGGCCAGACGGUAAAAUGGUAGGAGCACAGGCGGUUGCUCUGAGAGUCUCCGGCGACAGGUCGGCUUUCUAUAACUGCAAGAUCAUUGGCUUCCAGGACACUUUGUGCGAUGACAGGGGCAACCAUUUCUUUAAGGAUUGCCAUAUUCGUGGCACUGUUGAUUUCAUUUUCGGAAGCGGGACAUCUUUAUAUCUGGUAUUCAUAUUCCCAAUGCGUGAAAUAUGAUGUAUUAUACCCCCAUAUAUACAUUUGACAAGAAAAGUGGGAUGCAGAACACGGAAAUAUUCGUGGUAGGAGAUCCAGAAGGAGAUCCGGAAAUGGCAAUAAUUACAGCACAUGCGCGAGAAAGUUCAUCGGAGGACACGGGUUAUUCGUUCGUGCAUGGCAGAAUUACAGGAACAGCGAAGGACGUAUUUUUGGGCAGGGCCUGGAAGAGCAGUCCGAGGGUUGUUUAUUCUUAUACUGAAAUGGACGAAAUCGUCCAUCCUGGUGGAUGGUCUAGUAAUCGCCAACCUGAACGAGCCGAGUAAGAUAAUACUCAGCCUUACAACGUUACAUGCCUACAAGUAAACUAAUCUUUCCCAACUUAUUGAUAAAUUUAUUAAGAUAUAUAAUGUGAGAAUGGUUUGACACGCAGCACUGUGUACUACGGAGAAUACAAAUGCACGGGGAAAGGCGCGACUCCUGCUACACGAGAGAAAUUCGUCAAACAACUAUCGGAUGCGGAAGCUAAACCAUUCUUGGUUCUUGACUACGUUGAAGGUACCAAAUGGUUGCUUCCCCCUCCGACAGUACCUAAAUAAUUCAUUCAUUCCCAACUUUUUCAUGCCGGCAACAUAUCCUCACAGUAUUGCUAAUUCAAGCAGACUCUCGUCUACCUCUUUGCUGGGUGGAAAUAACUAGCCAUCCAUUUUAUUUUAUUUAUUUUAUUUUCCCUUCCCAUGGCUUGUAUUUUAACAAAUAGCCAAAUGUCAAUAAGAAGCAGAAUUUAGUCUUAUUUUUAUUAAUAGUUAGGAUGUUGAUAUUUGCCAUUAUGUAGAAAAUUUCCAUCAUAUCAAGUUAAAAUUAUGUAAUAAUAUCCAUCAUAUAUCCAAGUUCAUUGAUUCAAUAAGUCAAGGUGAUUUCACAAACUUUUGCAUUUUAGCAAAUAAAUGGACCAUUACUGUAUAUUUGUGUAACAGCUCGUUUUCAGUAGUGUCAGAAAUAGUGGAUUUGGGACCACGAUUUUGACAAGCAGUCAGCAUUUUAAUUAAUUUUUCUUUGAUAAAAUUAUUUUAAUUAUUUAUUUAGUAUUUGCUGGGUUCAUGCCCCCCUUAAUGACUUCCUAGGGUUUAGGUUCUUCCUUUCCCAAACAGUUGAUCCGUUGAGUAGCCCUAUAAAACAGUUAACAAAUCAUACCUCCACUCGCUAAUCCCCCAUAGAGGGAUCAGUUCCUCAUGGUUUUCAUAGAUAAUAUGGAAUUGAGUUAAAGAUAGAACAUGAUAAUUGAAUUGAGGUGUAGAGUUUAAAAAAGUACCUGAUUUGUAGUAAAGAUGAAUAUGAAUUCACAAAGUUUGAUCGUCUUUACACAUCAGAUCUCUCGAGAUAAAGCAAGAACAACUUGAAAAUAAUUCUAAAAACCUAAAAGAAAGAAUAUCUGAACUGGAAUUAAAAGAAAAAAAAACUAUACUAAGUAAUUGAUGUCCGUAACAUGUGAAAAAAGAUCCUAUUUAUAGAUUUCAGGUGGCCUUCGUCGUCAAACCUAGGUUAGUUGAAGUUCUAGAGCUUUAAGUUUGAUUAUGCAAACCAAAACGCCCUCUGGCUCGUGUUAGUUUCCGUCCAGAGUCGAUGUCGCGAUACAUCAGGACCUGUGUCGCAACAAAGGAUUCUAUACACUCCUCUUGGGAUAUCUUUAGGGGUAUGUCGCAACACCCUUAUAUUGUGUCGCAACAUCGAAAGCAGUUUCGUGAUUUCUUUAUCCUGCUCCCUAAGUUGCUACAUUGAUCAUUUUGUGUUGAGACAUAGUGACCAGCAUCUGUUAAUUACUCCUUCUAAUGCUCUCCUGCACACUUACACAGUUCAUUAGCUUCCCCUUAAACCUCUUCCAGCCCCUAAGGUUAAUAAAAGGCUCAAUUUGUACAUCACAUUACAUUUAAGAAGAGUUGCAAGAACAUAAUUAAAAUCUAACGAAAAUGCUUGCUUUCAACCUCCUAAAGUGCGGAAAUUAGUUUAAUCUACUACACGGAAUUACGGUAUGUCAAGUACACGACUUCAUGCUCGAAUCCACGAUUUAUAAUGUUAUUUAUAGCCCUUUUCACAUAAUUUUGGCUUUUUUUUAAUAGCUAAAUCAAGUCAUUUUGUAAUAAUAUAUGUUUUUACAGGUUAAACAGUUAACUUAGUUUUUUUUAAUAUUUUUAUUGUAUUUGAUAGCUAAAAAAAGGUUAUGUGGUUGAUGUCGUGACCACAAAGUAUGGAAGUAAUAUAAAUAUUAACUUUGUUAAUUACCAUUUGAUUCUUUUUUAGUAAUAUAAAUACUUGCUUAAUUUAAAUCUGUUCCUAUAAUAUACUUUAAGAUGUAUUCCCUAUGUUUUAUAUAAUCACAACUUGUGUGAAAUUGCCGUAUAAAAUUUAUAUUUUUAUUUAGAAACUUAGUACGUUAUAGAUAUUUUAUGUUCGGUAUUGUGUUUCGUAGAUUCUAUCAACAAAUUUUUUCGACCUUUCACGAAUGAAAGAAAAGGAAACAUAAAACUUAAUUGGCAAUUUCCAAUUAGAAUCAAACUUUUCCUCAUUUAUAUAAACCUAAUAGAUAAUUAAUUUAGUAAUAAAUUCAAAAUAAACAAGUAAGUAUUAACGGGGCAACAAAUGAAGGCAACAACAUAAAAUAUUUCCAUUCCUUACAUUAAAUUCACCCGGUUUAGGUUUUGCACUUAGGAUUAUUGUUCAAUGAUCAUGGGUGUCUGUAGUCCAAAUUUUGUGUAUUUGGCAACAAUUAUAUUCAAUUUAUACUCAUUAAUAGCGAUCAACUGCCAAAUGCUCGGUCUGAACUGUAGCAAUGCUUGCACCAAGAACUACGCAAAUGAGUGGCAAUGCGAGGAAUCCUCCAAGGCUCAUUUGUUUUAAUAUUUUUUUUGUCACCAAUUUAUCUUAUAAAUUGGAGUCACUUAGAAUUCAAAGACAACCUCAAUAAUCAAUAAACGAAGAAAAUAAACAAAUUACUCUUUUUAUUAAAAGGAAAGAAGGAGGAGGAGGAAAUGGAUGGAAAAAGAAUCGAGGGCAAUGAAGUUUAUGCUCUAGCAAUGUGUGUAAGUAUUCUCCUCUUUGCUCCGAUUGUUGUGUCACAACCAAUACCGGCAGAUAAAUCCCAAGUGGAAGCUUGGUUUAAUGGCAUUAUCAAGCCGGUGAAGGAAAGGGGUACAACCUUAGACCCUGAAUUGGUUCAAGCCGAGACAGAACCUAGAAUCAUAAAGGUGAUGCAAGGUGGGGGUGGAGAAUUCGAUACCAUAACCAAAGCCAUCGAGAGCGUUCCAUCAGGGAACGCCAAACGCGUGAUCAUAUCCAUCGGACCUGGAUCUUACAAAGAGAAAAUUAGAAUUGAAAGAAAUAAGCCUUUCAUUACAUUGUUAGGAGAUCCUAAAAACAUGCCAAAUUUGACAUUUGACGGCACCGCCAAGCAAUAUGGAACCGUAGAUAGUGCCACUCUUAUUACUGAGAGUAAUUACUUUGUGGGUGCUAAUCUCAAUAUAGUGGUAAGUUAAUGUAGAGUUUAGACAACCAUGAUCUGUCCUUUAUUGAAUUGAUUAUUAAAGGGAUUUUUUUUUAUGGUGGCAUGUUAUGCAUAUAGAACUCUGCUCCAAGGCCAGACGGUAAAAUGGUAGGAGCACAGGCGGUUGCUCUGAGAGUCUCCGGCGACAGGUCGGCUUUCUAUAACUGCAAGAUCAUUGGCUUCCAGGACACUUUGUGCGAUGACAGGGGCAACCAUUUCUUUAAGGAUUGCCAUAUUCGUGGCACUGUUGAUUUCAUUUUCGGAAGCGGGACAUCUUUAUAUCUGGUAUUCAUAUUCCCAAUGCGUGAAAUAUGAUGUAUUAUACCCCCAUAUAUACAUUUGACAAGAAAAGUGGGAUGCAGAACACGGAAAUAUUCGUGGUAGGAGAUCCAGAAGGAGAUCCGGAAAUGGCAAUAAUUACAGCACAUGCGCGAGAAAGUUCAUCGGAGGACACGGGUUAUUCGUUCGUGCAUGGCAGAAUUACAGGAACAGCGAAGGACGUAUUUUUGGGCAGGGCCUGGAAGAGCAGUCCGAGGGUUGUUUAUUCUUAUACUGAAAUGGACGAAAUCGUCCAUCCUGGUGGAUGGUCUAGUAAUCGCCAACCUGAACGAGCCGAGUAAGAUAAUACUCAGCCUUACAACGUUACAUGCCUACAAGUAAACUAAUCUUUCCCAACUUAUUGAUAAAUUUAUUAAGAUAUAUAAUGUGAGAAUGGUUUGACACGCAGCACUGUGUACUACGGAGAAUACAAAUGCACGGGGAAAGGCGCGACUCCUGCUACACGAGAGAAAUUCGUCAAACAACUAUCGGAUGCGGAAGCUAAACCAUUCUUGGUUCUUGACUACGUUGAAGGUACCAAAUGGUUGCUUCCCCCUCCGACAGUACCUAAAUAAUUCAUUCAUUCCCAACUUUUUCAUGCCGGCAACAUAUCCUCACAGUAUUGCUAAUUCAAGCAGACUCUCGUCUACCUCUUUGCUGGGUGGAAAUAACUAGCCAUCCAUUUUAUUUUAUUUAUUUUAUUUUCCCUUCCCAUGGCUUGUAUUUUAACAAAUAGCCAAAUGUCAAUAAGAAGCAGAAUUUAGUCUUAUUUUUAUUAAUAGUUAGGAUGUUGAUAUUUGCCAUUAUGUAGAAAAUUUCCAUCAUAUCAAGUUAAAAUUAUGUAAUAAUAUCCAUCAUAUAUCCAAGUUCAUUGAUUCAAUAAGUCAAGGUGAUUUCACAAACUUUUGCAUUUUAGCAAAUAAAUGGACCAUUACUGUAUAUUUGUGUAACAGCUCGUUUUCAGUAGUGUCAGAAAUAGUGGAUUUGGGACCACGAUUUUGACAAGCAGUCAGCAUUCUAAUUAAUUUUUCUUUGAUAAAAUUAUUUUAAUUAUUUAUUUAGUAUUUGCUGGGUUCAUGCCCCCCUUAAUGACUUCCUAGGGUUUAGGUUCUUCCUUUCCCAAACAGUUGAUCCGUUGAGUAGCCCUAUAAAACAGUUAACAAAUCAUACCUCCACUCGCUAAUCCCCCAUAGAGGGAUCAGUUCCUCAUGGUUUUCAUAGAUAAUAUGGAAUUGAGUUAAAGAUAGAACAUGAUAAUUGAAUUGAGGUGUAGAGUUUAAAAAAGUACCUGAUUUGUAGUAAAGAUGAAUAUGAAUUCACAAAGUUUGAUCGUCUUUACACAUCAGAUCUCUCGAGAUAAAGCAAGAACAACUUGAAAAUAAUUCUAAAAACCUAAAAGAAAGAAUAUCUGAACUGGAAUUAAAAGAAAAAAAAACUAUACUAAGUAAUUGAUGUCCGUAACAUGUGAAAAAAGAUCCUAUUUAUAGAUUUCAGGUGGCCUUCGUCGUCAAACCUAGGUUAGUUGAAGUUCUAGAGCUUUAAGUUUGAUUAUGCAAACCAAAACGCCCUCUGGCUCGUGUUAGUUUCCGUCCAGAGUCGAUGUCGCGAUACAUCAGGACCUGUGUCGCAACAAAGGAUUCUAUACACUCCUCUUGGGAUAUCUUUAGGGGUAUGUCGCAACACCCUUAUAUUGUGUCGCAACAUCGAAAGCAGUUUCGUGAUUUCUUUAUCCUGCUCCCUAAGUUGCUACAUUGAUCAUUUUGUGUUGAGACAUAGUGACCAGCAUCUGUUAAUUACUCUUUCUAAUGCUCUCCUGCAUACUUACACAGUUCAUUAGCUUCCCCUUAAACCUCAUCCAGCCCCUAAGGUUAAUAAAAGGCUCAAUUUGUACAUCACAUUACAUUUAAGAAGAGUUGCAAGAACAUAAUUAAAAUCUAACGAAAAUGCUUGCUUUCAACCUCCUAAAGUGCGGAAAUUAGUUUAAUCUACUACACGGAAUUACGGUAUGUCAAGUACACGACUUCAUGCUCGAAUCCACGAUUUAUAAUGUUAUUUAUAGCCCUUUUCACAUAAUUUUGGCUUUUUUUUAAUAGCUAAAUCAAGUCAUUUUGUAAUAAUAUAUGUUUUUACAGGUUAAAUAGUUAAGUUAGUUUUUUUUUAAUAGAUUUUAUUGUAUUUGAUAGCUAAAAAAAGGUUAUGUGGUUCUAUAAGAUGAACCGAGAGUUAAUAAUGGAAUUUCAGGCCAAAACUGCUGCUGAUGUCGUGACCACAAAGUAUGGAAGUAAUAUAAAUAUUAACUUUGUUAAUUACCAUUUGAUUCUUUUUUAGUAAUAUAAAUACUUGCUUAAUUUAAAUCUGUUCCUAUAAUAUACUUUAAGAUGUAUUCCCUAUGUUUCAUAUAAUCACAACUUGUGUGAAAUUGCCGUAUAAAAUUUAUAUUUUUAUUUAGAAACUUAGUACGUUAUAGAUAUUUUAUGUUCGGUAUUGUGUUUCGUAGAUUCUAUCAACAAAUUUUUUCGACCUUUCACGAAUGAAAGAAAAGGAACAUAAAACUUAAUUGGCAAUUUCCAAUUAGAAUCAAACUUUUCCUCAUUUAUAUAAACCUAAUAGAUAAUUAAUUUAGUAAUAAAUUCAAAAUAAACAAGUAAGUAUUAACGGGGCAACAAAUGAAGGCAACAACAUAAAAUAUUUCCAUUCCUUACAUUAAAUUCACCCGGUUUAGGUUUUGCACUUAGGAUUAUUGUUCAAUGAUCAUGGGUGUCUGAAGUCCAAAUUCCGUGUAUUUGGCAACAAUUAUAUUCAAUUUAUACUCAUUAAUGGCGAUCAACUGCCAAAUGCUCGGUCUGAACUGUAGCAAUGCUUGCACCAAGAACUACGCAAAUGAGUGGCAAUGCGAGGAAUCCUCCAAGGCUCAUUUGUUUUAAUAUUUUUUUGUCACCAAUUUAUCUUAUAAAUUGGAGUCACUUAGAAUUCAAAGACAACCUCAAUAAUCAAUAAACGAAGAAAAUAAACAAAUUACUCUUUUUAUUAAAAGGAAAGAAGGAGGAGGAGGAAAUGGAUGGAAAAAGAAUCGAGGGCAAUGAAGUUUAUGCUCUAGCAAUGUGUGUAAGUAUUCUCCUCUUUGCUCCGAUUGUUGUGUCACAACCAAUACCGGCAGAUAAAUCCCAAGUGGAAGCUUGGUUUAAUGGCAUUAUCAAGCCGGUGAAGGAAAGGGGUACAACCUUAGACCCUGAAUUGGUUCAAGCCGAGACAGAACCUAGAAUCAUAAAGGUGAUGCAAGGUGGGGGUGGAGAAUUCGAUACCAUAACCAAAGCCAUCGAGAGCGUUCCAUCAGGGAACGCCAAACGUGUGAUUAUAUCCGUCGGACCUGGAUCUUACAAAGAGAAAAUUAGAAUUGAAAGAAAUAAGCCUUUCAUUACAUUGUUAGGAGAUCCUAAAAACAUGCCAAAUUUGACAUUUGACGGCACCGCCAAGCAAUAUGGAACCGUAGAUAGUGCCACU